rnacentral:rRNA from 1 species
CACGUAGGGCGCGAGCGUUGUCCGGAAUUAUUGGGCGUAAAGAGCUCGUAGGCGGCCUGUUGCGUCCGCUGUGAAAGCCCGGGGCUUAACCCCGGGUCGGCAGUGGAUACGGGCAGGCUAGAGGUAGGUAGGGGAGAAUGGAAUUCCCGGUGUAGCGGUGAAAUGCGCAGAUAUCAGGAGGAACACCGGUGGCGAAGGCGGAUCUCUGGGCCUGUUCUGACGCUGAGGCGCGAAAGCUAGGGGAGCGAACAGG